rnacentral:rRNA from 1 species
CAGCCGCCGCGGUAAUACGAAGGGGGCUAGCGUUGCUUGGAAUCACUGGGCGUAAAGGGUGCGUAGGCGGGUCUUUAAGUCAGGGGUGAAAUCCUGGAGCUCAACUCCAGAACUGCCUUUGAUACUGAAGAUCUUGAGUUCGGGAGAGGUGAGUGGAACUGCGAGUGUAGAGGUGAAAUUCGUAGAUAUUCGCAAGAACACCAGUGGCGAAGGCGGCUCACUGGCCCGAUACUGACGCUGAGGCACGAAAGCGUGGGGAGCAAACAGGAUUAGAUACCCCUGUAGUCCCUGUCUCUUAUAC